rnacentral:rRNA from 1 species
AUUGAACGCUGGCGGCAGGCCUAACACAUGCAAGUCGAGCGGAUGACGGGAGCUUGCUCCUUGAUUCAGCGGCGGACGGGUGAGUAAUGCCUAGGAAUCUGCCUGGUAGUGGGGGACAACGUUUCGAAAGGAACGCUAAUACCGCAUACGUCCUACGGGAGAAAGCAGGGGACCUUCGGCCCUUGCGCUUUCGUAUGAGCCUAGGUCGGAUUAGCUAGUUGGUGGGGUAAUGGCUCACCAAGGCGACGAUCCGUAACUGGUCUGAGAGGAUGAUCAGUCACACUGGAACUGAGACACGGUCCAGACUCCUACGGGAGGCAGCAGUGGGGAAUAUUGGACAAUGGGCGAAAGCCUGAUCCAGCCAUGCCGCGUGUGUGAAGAAGGUCUUCGGAUUGUAAAGCACUUUAAGUUGGGAGGAAGGGCAGUAAGUUAAUACCUUGCUGUUUUGACGUUACCGACAGAAUAAGCACCGGCUAACUCUGUGCCAGCCGCCGCGGUAA